rnacentral:rRNA from 1 species
GAGGAUGCUACUGUGUUCCUCCUAGAGAUACUGGACGUUACUCGCAAUACUAGCGCCGGCUAACUCUGUGCCAGCAGCCGCGGUAAUACAGAGGGUGCAAGCGUAAUCGGAUUUACUGGGCGUAAAGCGCGCGUAGGCGGCUAAUUAAGUCAAAUGUGAAAUCCCCGAGCUUAACUUGGGAAUUGCAUUCGAUACUGGUUAGCUAGAGUGUGGGAGAGGAUGGUAGAAUUCCAGGUGUAGCGGUGAAAUGCGUAGAGAUCUGGAGGAAUACCGAUGGCGAAGGCAGCCAUCUGGCCUAACACUGACGCUGAGGUGCGAAAGCAUGGGGAGCAAACAGGAUUAGAUACCCUGGUAGUCCAUGCCGUAAACGAUGUCUACUAGCCGUUGGGGCCUUUGAGGCUUUAGUGGCGCAGCUAACGCGAUAAGUAGACCGCCUGGGGAGUACGGUCGCAAGACUAAAACUCAAAUGAAUUGACGGGGGCCCGCACAAGCGGUGGAGCAUGUGGUUUAAUUCGAUGCAACGCGAAGAACCUUACCUGGCCUUGACAUAGUAAGAACUUUCCGAGAUGGAUUGGUGCUUCGGGGAACUUCAUACCAGGGCUGCUUGGCUGCGGCCAGUCGUGUCGUGAGAGGUGGGGUAAGUCC